rnacentral:rRNA from 1 species
CAGUAGCCACGGUAAUACGAAGGGUGCAAGCGUUACUCGGAAUUACUGGGCGUAAAGCGUGCGUAGGUGGUGGUUUAAGUCCGUUGUGAAAGCCCUGGGCUCAACCUGGGAAUUGCAGUGGAUACUGGGUCACUAGAGUGUGGUAGAGGAUAGUGGAAUUUCCGGUGUAGCAGUGAAAUGCGUAGAGAUCGGAAGGAACAUCUGUGGCGAAGGCGACUAUCUGGGACAACACUGACACUGAGGCACGAAAGCGUGGGGAGCAAACAGGAUUAGAUACCCCUGUAGUCCCUGUCUCUUAUAC